CCUACGGGUGGCAGCAGUGGGGGAUAUUGCACAAUGGGGGAAACCCUGAUGCAGCGACGCCGCGUGGGUGAAGAAGUAUUUCGGUAUGUAAAGCCCUAUCAGCAGGGAAGAAAGAAGACGGUACCUGACUAAUAAGCCCCGGCUAACUACGUGCCAGCAGCCGCGGUAAUACGUAGGGGGCGAGCGUUAUCCGGAUUCACUGGGUGUAAAGGGAGCGUAGACGGCCGUGCAAGCCAGGAGUGAAAGCCCGGGGCCCAACCCCGGGACUGCGCUUGGAACUGUGCGGCUGGAGUGCGGGAGGGGCAGGCGGAAUGCCUGGUGUAGCGGUGAAAUGCGUAGAUAUCAGGAGGAACACCGGCGGCGAAGGCGGCCUGCUGGACCGCGACUGACGUUGAGGCUCGAAAGCGUGGGGAGCGAACAGGAUUAGAUACCCGAGUAGUC
rnacentral:rRNA from 1 species